ensembl:lncRNA
AGAUAGGUUAAUAAGGAAGACUGUUGAUUCUUCAAACAACAACUUUAUUAUAAGAUCUGCAAAACUUGGAGUGGUUAACAAUCCACUCAACAGUGCAGAGUUAAGAGCCCAACAAACAGAGUUGUCUCUGCUUUUAUAGAAAGUACAAUCUCCUUUUCUUCGUGACAGUUUAGCAGAUGUGUGGAAAAAGGGGCGGAACAGAUUAUAAAAGGCGUUUGGUUUGUCUGUGCUGAUUCAGAUAGAGGUUGAUAGCACGAGGGCUCAACUGUCUAACUCUGUCACAGUUCACACGAAAAUGUGCUCCUGUCUGCAAGUUUCCAAACAGCUGACUUCCUGCAGAUAGUAAAACCAUGGGAUGUCUCACAUGCUGCGUGUGCACCCAAAUGGAUCUUAGCUAUACGCCCAGUCUUAUGACUAAGUCACACAAAGACAAGUUUUAUCAGGUUAGAAAAAAACACUAACAUAUAACAAGAGACAAUUCUCUAAGUAGUAAACACAGGAUAUCAUGAAUCAUUUUGUAAUUUUCCCCCUACAAUCCACAAAGACCAAGAAACAUCUUGUCCCUGUUUGUUCCUUGUUCCAAGGACUUUACAGUGCACUAACCAAAGCACGGCAUUGAGUAAACUUUGAAUAAGGCAUGACAUAAGUCUCUUUCUAACCUGCAUUCUAACUAUUAAGUUAGUGAAAGGCCUGCAUUGUAAGUAGACCUGCAUUUUAACUACUUAUGUAGAGAAAAGACCUGCAUUCUAACUACUAAUGUAGUGAAAAGACCUGCAUUCUCUGUAAACUGGUCAUCUCUGUACACCUGUCACAAGAUCGACUGGUUAUGCUUAUUUAUAAAACCCUCUUAGGCCUCACUCCCAAGUAUCCAAGAUAUCUACUGCAGCCCUCAUCCUCCACAUACAACACCCAUUGUGCCAGUCACAUUCUGUUAAAGGUCCAGAAAGCACACACAACCCUGGGUCACUCGUCUUUUCAGUUCGCUGCAGCUAGAGACUGGAAAGAGCUGCAACAAACACUCAAACUGGACAAUUUUAUCUCAAUCUCUUCAUUCAAAGACUCAAUCAUGGAAACUCUUACUGACAGCUGUGGCUGCUUUGUGUGAUGAAUUGUUGUCUCUACCUUCUUGCCCUUUGUGCUGUUGUCUGUGCCCAAUAAUGUUUGUACCAUGUUUUGUGCUGCUACAAUGCUGUGUUGCUACCAUGUUGUUAUCAUGUUGUAUUGGUGUCAUGUUUUGUUGCUACCAUGCUGUGUUGUCAUGUCUCUCUUUAGGUAGUGUUGUGUUGUCUCUCUUGUCGUGAUGUGUGUUUUGUCCUAUAUUUAUAUAUAUAUAUAUUUAUUUAUUUUUAAUCCCAGCCCCGUCCUCGCAGGAGACGCUUUAACAUUUGGUAGGCCGUCAUUGUAAAUAAGAAUUUGUUCUUAACUGACUUAAAUAAAGGUGAAAUAAAAUAAAUAAAUACAAUUCUAACUAAUAAUGUCGUGUAAAGACCUGCAUUCUAACUACUAUAACUACUGUUGGACAAAAUGCCAUGCUACACUAAUGUUAGGCUAAAACAACAAAUAAUACAGGUUUCAUGAGGGAUAGGGUUAAUGCAUGUAUCAUAAGGCAGUUGUUAGUGGAGCUUCUGUUCCCAGUGGAUCACUAGCCACACCCUUGGUUUCAUGGUUCCUCUUAUAACUGCUCUCUGUACCAAUACUACAUAAGGCUGCAUAAUAUGAAGGAACACAUUUUGAGCAGCUACAAGUACCAGCAUCAGUCCGGGUUUGGCUAGUCAUUACUGACAAGAUUCUCCAUUUGACAUGUUAUUUAGAUUAAACCUGGCCUCAAUUUAGUUGGCUUCAACAUGCAACAUACAUUCAUACACACACACACACACACACACACACACACACACACACACACACACACACACACACACACAUACACACACACAUACACACAUACACACAUACAUACA